UACGGAGGGUGCGAGCGUUGUCCGGAAUCAUUGGGCGUAAAGGGCGCGUAGGUGGCCCGGUGAGUCUUUGGUGAAAGCGCGGGGCUCAACCCUGCGUCGGCCAGGGAUACUGCCGCGGCUCGAGCACUGUAGAGGCAGGCGGAAUUCCGGGUGUAGCGGUGGAAUGCGUAGAGAUCCGGAAGAACACCGGUGGCGAAGGCAAUCCCCUAGACCUGUACUGACGCUCAUGCACGAAAGCGUGGGGAGCAAACAGG
rnacentral:rRNA from 1 species